CCUACGGGUGGCAGCAGUGGGGAAUAUUGCGCAAUGGGCGAAAGCCUGACGCAGCGACGCCGCGUGAGGGAUGAAGGUCUUCGGAUCGUAAACCUCUGUCAACAGGGAAGAACAGUCACUGUGCUAAUCAGCAGUGCAUUGACGGUACCUGCAAAGGAAGCACCGGCUAACUCCGUGCCAGCAGCCGCGGUAAUACGGAGGGUGCGAGCGUUAAUCGGAAUUACUGGGCGUAAAGCGCGCGUAGGCGGUAUGUCAAGUCAAGGGUGAAAUCCCCGCGCUCAACGUGGGAACUGCCUUUGAAACUGGCAAACUGGAGUGUGGGAGAGGAGAGAGGAAUUCCAGGUGUAGGAGUGAAAUCCGUAGAUAUUUGGAGGAACAUCAGUGGCGAAGGCGACUAUCUGGAACAUAACUGACGCUGAGGAGCGAAAGCGUGGGUAGCAAACAGGAUUAGAUACCCCAGUAGUC
rnacentral:rRNA from 1 species